rfam:Schistosoma mattheei strain Denwood, Zambia genome assembly, scaffold: SMTD_contig0000794
AUCCAGCUGAUGAGUCCAAGGUAAGACGAAACGGGCGUCCUGAAU